rnacentral:sRNA from 1 species
UACUGAUGAUAAAUUGACUAUUAUUGCA